UUUAUUUCAUGCCUAACCGCUUAAACUGCAGUGAAAUCGUACGGUAGAAAUGUUUACCUUCUGAUGUCCUUCCCUGCAUGCACUUACUCUCUGUCGCUUAUUCUCUGCUGAGAUUUUCCAUAGCUAGAGCCUGGAUAAAAACUAUAAACCCACAGGACGUUUCUUUCAGUAGGUCAUUCUGAGAAGACACCAAGAGCCUCUUUAGAAGAGUGGGUCAUGCUUUGUAUCAUGUGUCCUGCUCCUACCAGGACCCCUGGGUUCUGAUCCAAGGUCCACUGCCGCCAGUGGGAGCAGAGGAGAAAGCAGGAGGUCCAAACACCUCGGAGGACUUUCAGCUUUGUGUUAGGACUUGAGGGAGAAUGAUAUGCCUUGUCUCAAUCUUUCUGGUGAAAACGAUCCCCACUGCACAGUUCUGAUCUUUAUUACUGGGGUCUUCAAGUGUUCUCUUGAUUGAACUGCAUCUUAAUGAAGAGACUACAUUGGAGACUGAUUUCUCACACAGCUGAUUAUUGAGAAAUAUGCUCUCCUUGUCCAUGUGAACAAUUCCUCUUCUACAUCAAGACUGAAACAGCCCUGAGGUUACAAUCUCAACAGCUUAUAAGGCUCUCAGAAGCAGAGACCAACAAGUGUUUAUGAGAAACUACCAGUACAGAUGAUAAAAAUACAAAUGAUACUGGCAUUCAGCAGCAGCUGAUGUAUUUGCAUCCUUGAAGAUCACCAAUGGAUACAUCCAGGACAAGUUUAGGGCAUCUUGUCCAGUUCUGCAUGCUUGGAACCAAGACAGCAAUCAAGGUCCAAUUUUAGAAGGAACAGCAUCUCUGUUUGACAACGUGGAGUUAAACGCUUAGUGGGAGAGUUCUCUGGGACUGUCUUGAGGGGAGUAACUAGACAGGACAAGAAGAUUUCCUAAAACUCAAGUACUUUACUAUUCAAUUCUUAAUGUCAGUGCUAUACCAGGAAGAAAGGCUUAAACAUGUUUACUGUGCAAAUGCCUGGUGUGUAUAAUAACUUAAUGCUCUCAUCUGCUGCUUGGCUGUCCUUUCUCUGCUGGACAUCAGCACCUCCAUGGAUCUGAGGAUCCCAUGGCCACAGUGCAUCGCUCAUUCACACCGGUGCGCAGUCAACCAUCUUAUAUUAAAACUACCAUAGGAGAUCGUGGGAGCCAAUAUUUUUGGUUAAAAAUCACUGAAGCAGGCUGAGGAAUCCCAUAUUCCUUUCAGCUGCAGUGGGCUCUGAUGAGUAUGCGAAGGUGGUCGUGUUUUUGACUAGUCUCUGGGAAGGGAUAUACUGCCAUGCCCUUAAUCUGGCCUGCCUGGCUGGACUCCAUGACUGUCAUAUCAACAUUGACAGCUUCGUGGUCCUGUCAUAUCAGCAAUAUCCUGAUCCCCUGGAGUCAAGCAGUUAACAAAACAGAUCCUACCGGUCUUUGAGGAACAAGCUGGCUGCCUUUCCCAUUUACCUUAACUCCGUGGAUGUGCAUGCUCUUUGAGUCAGUGACAGAAAGCAUAAAGGUUAACUGAAAAUGAUUUAAACAUUGUUCUUUUAUAUGGAUAUACUCUUUAUAAUCUUGAAUUGCCCUUUGCAUGAAAAACAAGAGC